rnacentral:rRNA from 1 species
GUGCCAGCAGCCGCGGUAAUACGAAGGGGGCUAGCGUUGUUCGGAAUUACUGGGCGUAAAGCGCACGUAGGCGGAUUGGUCAGUUAGGGGUGAAAUCCCAGGGCUCAACCCUGGAACUGCCUUUAAUACUGCCGGUCUAGAGUUCGAGAGAGGUGAGUGGAAUUCCGAGUGUAGAGGUGAAAUUCGUAGAUAUUCGGAGGAACACCAGUGGCGAAGGCGGCUCACUGGCUCGAUACUGACGCUGAGGUGCGAAAGCGUGGGGAGCAAACAGGAUUAGAAACCCCCGUAGUCC